AUGAGUACUUCAAAGGAGGAAGGACCCCAUCCAAAAACAAACAUUCUAUUUACUCUCAUCCAAAAACAAAAAUAUUCCACUAAGUCCCACAUCUCCAUCCAGCUACUACCUACUACCCUUCUCUCCUUCCUUCUUUUUGCCUUACGGCAAAUUUCUCCACCUCAAGUUUGUAAUUUACUCUUUAUUCUUUCUUUGCCUUCACUUACAGAAACUGCUGAUCUCAAUGUCACCAAUCACUUGGAGGUCACAAAUCACUUGCAAAGUCAACAGACUCUUGUCUGCCCACACAGUCUUGAGAAAAUGUGUCCAGGUUCCACCUUGGGGAAAUAGCCAUUCUCGCCCACUGCUGCUGCUUGUGAAUUCGGUUUUAUGAGGAGCUGAGAUUCCAAACACCACCUGACUUGUUAUCGUUCUUUUUAAUGUCCUCGGUUUUUUGGUUAUAAUCUAUUUUCCAAAACCAAAGGUAAUAUCAUGCUGUGUCCCUGCAGGAUUUUCAGCAGGCAUGGGAGAACAUUACCUUAAGUAAUUACCUAAGGUACCUAGGAGUUUCAGAGUCUGGUGGACACCUUCCUUCAGCCCCUCCUUAUGCCGUCCUCUUCCAGCUCUGAGCUGGAUCAUGAGGACUCACUGAUGGACUGGAUGCAGCCUCUGACCUCGGAAGAUCUGCAUCCACUCACACCAUUGGACCUGGCCAUGUGCAUGUCCCUGCUAUGACUACCUCUCCCCUGGUGGCACAGCUGAGUGUGAGGUCACCUGCCAGUGAAGAGAUAGCUGCUCCAGCCCCAGGGCCCCUUCCCUGCCCAGGGCCUGUGCUGGAGGGUCUGACAGAAGCUGCUUCAUCUGUGCCAGCCUUCCAUUUGCACAGGGCUGAUAAGCCAAUUUGGUUUGGUUUGUAUCUUAGUGCCUUCUACUUCCAGGUGACCAUGUAGCAUGCAUUUUAGCAAAUGAAGGGGCAAUAUGAGUGUGGAGUGACAGCAGUGGGGACUCAGAGAGGGGAUGGGGACAGCACGGGGUGUGGAGAGAGCAUCUGUCAGGAAUGUGAGGUGCCUGCCUGGGCUCUGUAGGAUUUUGAGCUUAUCAUGCUGCUCCCGCUCCAUUCCAUUAAUGUUUCAAUCACCCACUCACUUACCCAUGUGCCCGCACACCCACUACUCAGCUGCUUACCUGUUUCAACCACCUACUCUCCUACCCAACCUCUUCCUACCACCACCACACACUGUCACCACUCACAGACAAACUCACGUAUCAUCCACCCACCUCACUCAUCCACCCACCUGGGUACUUGGCUACUCAUACUCUCUUUAGCACCCACUCAUCCGCCCACUCAACCCUCCACCUAGACACUCACUCAUCCACCUAGACACUAACUCACCCACCCAGCAAGACACCUAUU
rnacentral:lncRNA from 1 species